CAUCCUCCAAGGCUAAAUACUCCUGACUGACCGAUAGUGAACCAGUACCGUGAGGGAAAGGCGAAAAGAACCCCGGCGAGGGGAGUGAAAAAGAACCUGAAACCGUGUACGUACAAGCAGUGGGAGCCUCUUUUAUGGGGUGACUGCGUACCUUUUGUAUAAUGGGUCAGCGACUUAUAUUCUGUAGCAAGGUUAACCGAAUAGGGGAGCCGAAGGGAAACCGAGUCUUAACUGGGCGUUAAGUUGCAGGGUAUAGACCCGAAACCCGGUGAUCUAGCCAUGGGCAGGUUGAAGGUUGGGUAACACUAACUGGAGGACCGAACCGACUAAUGUUGAAAAAUUAGCGGAUGACUUGUGGCUGGGGGUGAAAGGCCAAUCAAACCGGGAGAUAGCUGGUUCUCCCCGAAAGCUAUUUAGGUAGCGCCUCGUGAAUUCAUCUCCGGGGGUAGAGCACUGUUUCGGCAAGGGGGUCAUCCCGACUUACCAACCCGAUGCAAACUGCGAAUACCGGAGAAUGUUAUCACGGGAGACACACGGCGGGUGCUAACGUCCGUCGUGAAGAGGGAAACAACCCAGACCGCCAGCUAAGGUCCCAAAGUCAUGGUUAAGUGGGAAACGAUGUGGGAAGGCCCAGACAGCCAGGAUGUUGGCUUAGAAGCAGCCAUCAUUUAAAGAAAGCGUAAUAGCUCACUGGUCGAGUCGGCCUGCGCGGAAGAUGUAACGGGGCUAAACCAUGCACCGAAGCUGCGGCAGCGACGCUUAUGCGUUGUUGGGUAGGGGAGCGUUCUGUAAGCCUGUGAAGGUGUGCUGUGAGGCAUGCUGGAGGUAUCAGAAGUGCGAAUGCUGACAUAAGUAACGAUAAAGCGGGUGAAAAGCCCGCUCGCCGGAAGACCAAGGGUUCCUGUCCAACGUUAAUCGGGGCAGGGUGAGUCGACCCCUAAGGCGAGGCCGAAAGGCGUAGUCGAUGGGAAACAGGUUAAUAUUCCUGUACUUGGUGUUACUGCGAAGGGGGGACGGAGAAGGCUAUGUUGGCCGGGCGACGGUUGUCCCGGUUUAAGCGUGUAGGCUGGUUUUCCAGGCAAAUCCGGAAAAUCAAGGCUGAGGCGUGAUGACGAGGCACUACGGUGCUGAAGCAACAAAUGCCCUGCUUCCAGGAAAAGCCUCUAAGCAUCAGGUAACAUCAAAUCGUACCCCAAACCGACACAGGUGGUCAGGUAGAGAAUACCAAGGCGCUUGAGAGAACUCGGGUGAAGGAACUAGGCAAAAUGGUGCCGUAACUUCGGGAGAAGGCACGCUGAUAUGUAGGUGAAGCGACUUGCUCGUGGAGCUGAAAUCAGUCGAAGAUACCAGCUGGCUGCAACUGUUUAUUAAAAACACAGCACUGUGCAAACACGAAAGUGGACGUAUACGGUGUGACGCCUGCCCGGUGC
rnacentral:rRNA from 1 species